GUCUAUGGCCAUACCACCCUGAAUGUGCCUGAUCUCAUCUGAUCUUGGAAGCUAAGCAGAGUUGAGCCUGGUUAGUAUAUAGAUGGAAGAAUAAAGAUUGUUUUGUUUUUUUUU
rnacentral:rRNA from 1 species